GCGGCAGCGCGGGGGCAACCCUGGCGGCGAGCGGCGAACGGGUGAGUAAUACAUCGGAACGUGUCCAGUAGUGGGGGAUAACCAGUCGAAAGAUUGGCUAAUACCGCAUACGAUCUACGGAUGAAAGCGGGGGACCGCAAGGCCUCGCGCUGUUGGAGCGGCCGAUGUCCGAUUAGCUAGUUGGCGGGGUAACGGCCCACCAAGGCGACGAUCGGUAGCUGGUCUGAGAGGAUGAUCAGCCACACUGGAACUGAGACACGGUCCAGACUCCUACGGGAGGCAGCAGUGGGGAAUUUUGGACAAUGGGCGCAAGCCUGAUCCAGCCAUGCCGCGUGAGUGAAGAAGGCCUUCGGGUUGUAAAGCUCUUUCGGCGGGGACGAAACGGUCCGUGACAACACCACGGACUAAUGACGGUACUCGCAGAAGAAGCACCGGCUAACUACGUGCCAGCAGCCGCGGUAAUACGUAGGGUGCAGGCGUUAAUCGGAAUUACUGGGCGUAAAGCGUGCGCAGGCGGCUCCUUAAGUCAGAUGUGAAAGCCCCGGGCUUAACCUGGGAACUGCGUUUGAAACUGGGGAGCUGGAGUGUGGCAGAGGGGGGUGGAAUUCCAGGUGUAGCAGUGAAAUGCGUAGAUAUCUGGAGGAACACCGAUGGCGAAGGCAGCCCCCUGGGCUAACACUGACGCUCAUGCACGAAAGCGUGGGGAGC
rnacentral:rRNA from 1 species